UUAGCUUCCUUAAACCCUAAACCCUAAACCCUUAACCCUAAAUCCUCAACCCUAACCCUAAACCCUAAACUUUAAAAUCUAAAUCCUAAACCCUAACCUUAAACCCUAAACCCUAAACCUGAAAUCCUAAUUUAUAUUCCGAGAUCUAGUUGUAGUUCUAGUUCGGAUACUCAAUGAUACACAAAGAAUCUA
rnacentral:sRNA from 1 species